CUUGGCGACCAUAGCGUUGCGGACCCACCUGAUCCCAUGCCGAACUCAGAAGUGAAACGCAGUAGCGCCGAUGGUAGUGUGGGGCUUCCCCAUGUGAGAGUAGGACAUCGCCAGGU
rnacentral:rRNA from 3 species